UGUGGUAGAUCCAUUUAUGCAGAGGGUACUGUUGAUGCUAUAAUUUUCCUUGCCAAGAAGAUUCAAUCAAGGGCAGAUAAGCGGAUAUAUAAUCUGAUUGAUGUCUUGCGGGAGGGCAACAUGAGAUGAAUUAUACUAGUGGUUCCAAGUUAACCUCCAAUUUCAUUAUUGUCCUACAAUUUUCAUAUGGGCAUUCGUUUGACUAUGCAAUGCAAUCGAAUCAAUGCACUUCGUCCAAAAAUUUGACAGAAGAUACUAGUGGAUGAUCAAAAUUCAAAUUGUGUUACUGUGGCUCAGACACCAUAGUAGUGCUUGCAAGCCCAACAAAAAGGUACUUGUCUCUCUCAAAUGAAGUGCCUUCAGAAAAAAACCCAUUAUGGAUGAGAUUAAGGAAGAGGAAGGAUGUGCAAUUAUUCACAUAUAGGAAUUAUAGACGCACCUUGAGCCAGUUUUGGUUUUUGGAUUUCACAGUGCAGGAGAUCUGCAGGAACUUUGGAGGGUUUGACAGAGAGGAAG
rnacentral:misc_RNA from 1 species